GAAAAAGGGAAACGGGGAUGUGAAAAAAAAGGUGGGGUUUAAAUUUUUCUCAUUUCAGAUUUCAUAAAUAAAAAGAAAAUUUCUUCAAACAUUUUUUGAGAGGAUUAAUAUUCAACAACAUAGUGAAUUGCUCAAAGGCAAAAAAAAAUAUUUUAAGUUCAUUAGACCACAUUCAUUCUGUGUCAGAAACCUAUGCUGUGUCAACUAUUUAAUUUUAGAUUUAAAAAGUUUGAAGAAG
rnacentral:lncRNA from 1 species